AAAUGCUGCCGUGCCUCACAGCUAACCUCUCUGCCUAAGAGAACACAGGUUGUAAAGAGGGCACAGGCUGGCCUCUUCAGCAGUAGUUUAUUGAACCAUUCAAGGUGCCACAGAGAUGACAUUGCAGAGGGCUGGGGACAGGGACCUGGGCCGAGCACAGAGGAUACACAGCCAGCUAACCACCAGAGAAGAGGGAAAGGAAACCUCUGCCGCAAGAUGACAGGAUGGAAGGGCUGUAGGACAUUAUACAGUUGGCCAAGCUGCGGGAAGGGCGACAGAAUUCAGCAGUGAAACCAUCAGGACCUGGGGUUUUCUUAGUUGAUGAACUCUUAAUCUUCCUCUCAAAUGCUGCUCCAACCCAUUCCAGUUGAUAAAAACCCCAGGCCAACACGGAAUCAUUCUGGACCUCAUGUUUUCUUCCACCAUCCACAUUUUAUACAUCAGCGAUUUUUUGUUCUACUUUUAAAAUACAUCCAAUCUGCUUUCUAUCAUACACGCAAUAGUUUCUUUCCCUGAUUCAGGCCACCAUCCACUCAAACCUCAAUAACUGAAAUAAUUUCCUACUAUUACUUUGAAAGCAUCCAUAAUAAUUCUUUUACAGUAUAACUCAAUCAUAUUAUUCCUCUUCUAUUCUCUAUAAAACCUCACAGUGCCAGGUCUAUUUCUAUCUUUCCAACUUCAUCUAUCAUUUAUACUCAGAAUUAUUCCACUCAAUCAUACUGCCUGCCUCCUUGCUGCUCCCAAAACAAGUCAAGCUCAUUCUACCUUAGAGAAUUUGUACUGGUUCUUCACUCUGCCUGAGCACUUUUCUCCCAGAUAGCUAAAUGUCUAACUCCUUUAUGUCUCUUGAGUUUUUAUUCAUAAUUUUUUUCUCAAUAAAUCCUAUCCUGAUAUUUUUUAGAAUGGGAGCCUGGCCUCCCACGACUCAUGGUACUCCCAAUUCCCUUACUCCUAUACUUUUUGUUUUGUUUCAUAGUCCCUACUACAUUCUAACAUAACACAUAUAAUGUAAUUUACAUUUGUUGUUCAUUACCUUUUGCUGUGACUACAAUGUUAUUUACAUAAGAAGAAAGAAUUUUGAUGAGAUUAGGCCAUUUCUCAAGCAUGUGAAAGAGAAUUUGGGUUCAUAUUAAGGACGCAAUAACUAUUUGAUAAGAAUGAAUAAAUUAUUCUAUAACUGAUGGACUAUUUUUGCAAUAAGUUGCUGUUGCAUUUUAAAAUUAUUCAUCUUAAUUCCUUUUUCAUUCCCCUUUCCUCUCCACCCUUUCUCCUCCAUCAACCUCUCGAUCCCUUUCCUUUUUUGGUACAUGUUUGCAGUAUGUAAUAGUCACAUUCCUUGUGUGGAAUUGGUAUAUAUGCAUAACACAUUUUAAUGCCUUUUUAAUCCCUACCCCUCCCAUUCUUCCUCUCCCCCAGGGGAA